rnacentral:rRNA from 1 species
AGUAUAAGCAAUCUAUACGGUGAAACUGCGAAUGGCUCAUUAAAUCAGUUAUCGUUUAUUUGAUAGUACCUUACUACUUGGAUAACCGUGGUAAUUCUAGAGCUAAUACAUGCUAAAAACCUCGACUUCGGAAGGGGUGUAUUUAUUAGAUAAAAAACCAAUGCCCUUCGGGGCUCCUUGGUGAUUCAUAAUAACUUAACGAAUCGCAUGGCCUUGUGCCGGCGAUGGUUCAUUCAAAUUUCUGCCCUAUCAACUUUCGAUGGUAAGGUAUUGGCUUACCAUGGUUUCAACGGGUAACGGGGAAUUAGGGUUCUAUUCCGGAGAGGGAGCCUGAGAAACGGCUACCACAUCCAAGGAAGGCAGCAGGCGCGCAAAUUACCCAAUCCCGACACGGGGAGGUAGUGACAAUAAAUACUGAUACAGGGCUCUUUUGGGUCUUGUAAUUGGAAUGAGUACAAUUUAAAUCCCUUAACGAGGAACAAUUGGAGGGCAAGUCUGGUGCCAGCAGCCGCGGUAAUUCCAGCUCCAAUAGCGUAUAUUAAAGUUGUUGCAGUUAAAAAGCUCGUAGUUGAACCUUGGGCCUGGCUGGCCGGUCCGCCUCACCGCGUGCACUGGUCCGGCCGGGCCUUUCCUUCUGGGGAGCCGCAUGCCCUUCACUGGGUGUGUCGGGGAACCAGGACUUUUACUUUGAAAAAAUUAGAGUGUUCAAAGCAGGCCUAUGCUCGAAUACAUUAGCAUGGAAUAAUAGAAUAGGACGUGUGGUUCUAUUUUGUUGGUUUCUAGGACCGCCGUAAUGAUUAAUAGGGAUAGUC